GUGCUCGAUUCAGCAGUGCAUAUACUAAAAAUGGAAUGCUACAGGGAAGAUUAGCAUGGCCCCUGCACAAGGAUGACAUGCAAAUUCGUGAAGUGUUCCAUAUUUUU
ensembl:snRNA U6 U6 spliceosomal RNA